rnacentral:rRNA from 1 species
UAGGGAAUCUUCCACAAUGGACGAAAGUCUGAUGGAGCAACGCCGCGUGAGUGAUGAAGGGUUUCGGCUCGUAAAACUCUGUUGUUGGAGAAGAACGGGUGUCAGAGUAACUGUUGACAUCGUGACGGUAUCCAACCAGAAAGCCACGGCUAACUACGUGCCAGCAGCCGCGGUAAUACGUAGGUGGCAAGCGUUGUCCGGAUUUAUUGGGCGUAAAGCGAGCGCAGGCGGUUUUUUAGGUCUGAUGUGAAAGCCUUCGGCUUAACCGGAGAAGUGCAUCGGAAACCGGGAGACUUGAGUGCAGAAGAGGACAGUGGAACUCCAUGUGUAGCGGUGAAAUGCGUAGAUAUAUGGAAGAACACCAGUGGCGAAGGCGGCUGUCUGGUCUGCAACUGACGCUGAGGCUCGAAAGCAUGGGUAGCGAACAGGAUUAGAUACCCUGGUAGUCCAUGCCGUAAACGAUGAGUGCUAAGUGUUGGAGGGUUUCCGCCCUUGCAGUGCUGCAGUUAACGCA